UACGGAGGGGGCUAGCGUUGUUCGGAAUUACUGGGCGUAAAGCGCACGUAGGCGGCUUUGUAAGUUAGAGGUGAAAGCCCGGGGCUCAACUCCGGAAUUGCCUUUAAGACUGCAUCGCUAGAAUUGUGGAGAGGUAAGUGGAAUUCCGAGUGUAGAGGUGAAAUUCGUAGAUAUUGGGAAGAACACCGGUGGCGAAGGCGGCUCACUGGCUCAUUACUGACGCUCGAGG
rnacentral:rRNA from 1 species